UACGUAGGGGGCGAGCGUUGUCCGGAUUUAUUGGGCGUAAAAGGCUUGUAGGUGGCCACGUCAAUUCGGAUGUGAAAUCUCCCGGCUCAACUGGGAGGGGUCAUUCGAUACUGGCGGGCUCGAGGCCGGUAGGGGGAAGCGGAAUUCCCGGUGUAGUGGUGGAAUGCGUAGAUAUCUGGAGGAACACCGGUGGCGAAGGCGGCAUCCUGGACCGGUAUUGACGCUGAGGCGCGAAAGCCAGGGGAGCAAACGGG
rnacentral:rRNA from 1 species